ACUGGGCGUAAAGGGCACGCAGGCGGCUAUUUAAGUGAGGUGUGAAAUCCCCGGGCUUAACCUGGGAAUUGCAUUUCAGACUGGGUAGCUAGAGUACUUUAGGGAGGGGUAGAAUUCCACGUGUAGCGGUGAAAUGCGUAGAGAUGUGGAGGAAUACCGAAGGCGAAGGCAGCCCCUUGGGAAUGUACUGACGCUCAUGUGCGAAAGCGUGGGGAGCAAACAGGAUUAGAUACCCUGGUAGUCCACGCUGUAAACGCUGUCGAUUUGGGGAUUGGGCUUUAAGCUUGGUGCCCGUAGCUAACGUGAUAAAUCGACCGCCUGGGGAGUACGGCCGCAAGGUUAAAACUCAAAUGAAUUGACGGGGGCCCGCACAAGCGGUGGAGCAUGUGGUUUAAUUCGAUGCAACGCGAAGAACCUUACCUACUCUUGACAUCCAUGGAAUCUUGUAGAGAUACGGGAGUGCCUUCGGGAACCAUGAGACAGGUGCUGCAUGGCUGUCGUCAGCUCGUGUCGUGAGAAG
rnacentral:rRNA from 1 species